AAACUAGCCAAUUAGAGCUGUUCGCGCCCUUCACUGGUUCAUUUUGAAGAUACGCGAGGAAUUGAUGUCUGUCAGUUAGUUUCAGUAGUAUUGAUGGUACAGUUAUAUGUAAACAGCGCUGAAGACACGAAGUCGUGUGGAAGUUGCAGGCUGCUGGAGAAUAAUCACACGCAUUAACAGCUUUACCAGCAGAAGUACACAGAAAUAUAUGAUAAGAUUUGCCUGGGCAGUACACACACCUGAUGAAGGGAAGAAAAGCUACCCAGGCCCCCAAACUCCAUCAGUAGUAAGUGUUUAAACAUUCGACCUGAGUAUUUGUAUUAACAAAUGUGUAAUAUUAUGUACAGUUGUGCUCAAAAGUUUACACACCCCUUGCAGAAUCUGGAAAAAGCUGAAACGUUUGGAAAAUAAGAGGAUUUUUGAAAAUUAAGGUUUAUUUUUAAUUUAGUCCUGCCCUGAGCAAGUUAUUUCACUAAAGAAAUGUUAACAUAUAGUUCACACUAAAGAAUAAUAACAGAAUUUCUAAAAAUAGCCCAGGGCAAAAGUUUACAUGCCCCUGAUUCUUAAUGUAUGAUGUUACCUAAACAAUCAAUGAGUUUUUAUGUUUAGUCAUAGUUGUUUAAGGGUUUCUUGUUUGUCAUGAGUCAUUAGACUGUCCACUGAUCUUCAAAACAAUCACCCAGGUCCUCCACAAUCUUUGCUUUUUCAGCAUUUCUGGAUAUUUGACUCAUGUCCAGCAGUAACUGUAUGAUGUUGAGAUUCCUCUUUUUACAUUGAGGACAAUCAAGAGACUCAUACACAACUAUUACAAUAGAUAGAAACAUCCAGUGCUGCCAACAGCUUUUUCCAGAUUCUGCAAGGGGUGUGUAAACUUUUGAGCGCAACUGUAUAUGCUUAAUACUGUAAUAACAUCCACGUAAACAUUUACAUAAUUUGUGAAAGAAACAUUGUCUAUUCCUUUAAACUGGUGACUUGUUUUGCUGAUUUAAUGAUGGAAGACUUACAUUUAAGUUAGCAUUGCUACUACAUUGCAUAUUGCCACAGACUC